rnacentral:lncRNA from 1 species
CAGGGCUGGCCCAGGUGAAAGGAGUGCUGUGGGGGGACACUGGCUACUCCUGCUUCCCUCACAGCUCAAAGAACCUAGAAACCAGAAGCCUUCAGUCUAUGGAGGUGGCCAGGGCAGUGGGGAGCAAUACUGCCUAUUAGCUCAGGGUCUGCUCAGAGCCAUGAAAAGAAAAGCAAGCAAGGCCCAGAGGCAGAGCUGUCACGCGACUCUGAAUUCAAGCCAGGAGCAGGUGGCCAUUAGAAGCCAGGUUCCAGGCUCAUCCUCUAGAGGCCCCAUGGGAGCCCUGGCCCCCUUUCUGGUACCAGCUGUGCAGCCUGGCAUGGAGCCAUACCCAGGAGGGCGCACAGCGUGUGGGGCUGCCAGGGGACUGGAUGCGAGACUCACUCCCCACUUGCUAAUCACUCCCUUCUCCUCCGCCUCAGUUCUCGCACAACCUGCCUGCCCCUGGAGGAAAGCGUGCCCAUCUGACACCUCACCCGCCUGCCCCUGGCUCCCUGUGGCACAUUCAUCUGUCCUUGUCGCUCUUCUGCUCUAUAUUAACCCCAGGGCCUAGUCCGUCCCCUCCUCCUCCUGCCUUCCCCAGGAUGAAGGUCUGUUGCCUGCCCCCAGCUCCAUCCCAGUGAGCCUGCACCCAGGCUAGGUCCAGCCAGGAAGGCCUCCUGCAGCCUCUCCAGCCAUCUUGGGGUAGACUCUGAGUGGUUCAAAGGGAGCUAGAAUCAGCACCGUGAUCAACUCUCCUUCCUCAGCCACCAUGAGGUCGUCCCAUCACUUCCACUCAAGGGAGGCAAGGACUGGGCAGCCUCUUGUCUCUUUGACCAGAAGCUGAAAGAACAGUUUGACCCAAGGAGGCAAUGGGAGGUCCCAGGAGUGUCAGACCAGACUGGUGACCCGGCACCAGAGAGCCAGCAUGAUGGGAAAGGAGAGGAGAAAAGAGUACAGCAGCCUGGUUCCUCAGAUGCCAGGACCAAGCAGGGCGGGGGCACUCCAGGCCUUCUGUGGGCUUUCAGGCCUUUUGUAAAAUGACAGUCCAACUGCUUGAUCUCUAAAACCACUUCUAAGUUUUCCUGAGCCAUGACAAGAAGAAAAAACAUCUUAACUAAAAGCUGAAGCAGCCAGAAAAGCCAACACUACCUGCUUGUGAUACUCCUGCCUCAGCCUUCUGAACUACUGGGACUGCAGGUGUUUGCCACUGUGCCCAGAUGGGUUGUAAUUUUGACCUAUAACAUAGCAG